rnacentral:rRNA from 1 species
CCUAAGGUAGCGAAAUUCCUUGUCGGGUAAGUUCCGACCUGCACGAAUGGCGUAAUGAUGGCCAGGCUGUCUCCACCCGAGACUCAGUGAAAUUGAACUCGCUGUGAAGAUGCAGUGUACCCGCGGCAAGACGGAAAGACCCCGUGAACCUUUACUAUAGCUUGACACUGAACAUUGAGCCUUGAUGUGUAGGAUAGGUGGGAGGCUUUGAAGUGUGGACGCCAGUCUGCAUGGAGCCGACCUUGAAAUACCACCCUUUAAUGUUUGAUGUUCUAACGUUGACCCGUAAUCCGGGUUGCGGACAGUGUCUGGUGGGUAGUUUGACUGGGGCGGUCUCCUCCUAAAGAGUAACGGAGGAGCACGAAGGUUGGCUAAUCCUGGUCGGACAUCAGGAGGUUAGUGCAAUGGCAUAAGCCAGCUUGACUGCGAGCGUGACGGCGCGAGCAGGUGCGAAAGCAGGUCAUAGUGAUCCGGUGGUUCUGAAUGGAAGGGCCAUCGCUCAACGGAUAAAAGGUACUCCGGGGAUAACAGGCUGAUACCGCCCAAGAGUUCAUAUCGACGGCGGUGUUUGGCACCUCGAUGUCGGCUCAUCACAUCCUGGGGCUGAAGUAGGUCCCAAGGGUAUGGCUGUUCGCCAUUUAAAGUGGUACGCGAGCUGGGUUUAGAACGUCGUGAGACAGUUCGGUCCCUAUCUGCCGUGGGCGUUGGAAGAUUGAGAGGGGUUGCUCCUAGUACGAGAGGACCGGAGUGAACGCACCACUGGUGUUCGGGUUGUCAUGCCAAUGGCAUUGCCCGGUAGCUAAGUGCGGAAGAGAUAACCGCUGAAAGCAUCUAAGCGGGAAACUUGCCUCGAGAUGAGUCUUCCCUGUCGCUUUAAGCGACCUAAAGGAACGUUUAAGACUAAGACGUUGAUAGGCUGGGUGUGUAAGCGUAGCGAUACGUUGAGCUAACCAGUACUAAUGAACCGUGAGGCUUAACCUG